rnacentral:rRNA from 1 species
CCUACGGGAGGCAGCAGUAGGGAAUAUUGCUCAAUGGGGGAAACCCUGAAGCAGCAACGCCGCGUGGAGGAUGAAGGUUUUCGGAUUGUAAACUCCUUUUGUUAGAGAAGAUAAUGACGGUAUCUAACGAAUAAGCACCGGCUAACUACGUGCCAGCAGCCGCGGUAAGACGGAGGGUGCAAGCGUUACUCGGAAUCACUGGGCGUAAAGAGCGCGUAGGCGGGAUAGCAAGUCAGAUGUGAAAUCCUAUGGCUUAACCAUAGAACUGCAUUUGAAACUGUUAUUCUAGAGUAUGGGAGAGGUAGGUGGAAUUCUUGGUGUAGGGGUAAAAUCCGUAGAGAUCAAGAGGAAUACUCAUUGCGAAGGCGACCUGCUGGAACAUAACUGACGCUGAUGCGCGAAAGCGUGGGGAGCAAACAGGAUUAGAUACCCCUGUAGUC